rnacentral:rRNA from 1 species
AUUGAACGCUGGCGGCAGGCCUAAAACAUGCAAGUCGAACGAGUGGCGGACGGGUGUGUAAUGUCUGGGAAACUGCCUGAUGGAGGGGGAUAACUACUGGAUACGGUAGCUAAUACAGCAUACCAUCGGAUGUGCCCAGAUGGGCUUCGCUAGUAGGUGGGGUAACGGCUCACCUAGGCGACGAUCCCUAGCUGGUCUGAGAGGAUGACCAGUCACACUACAACUGCGACACAGUCCAGACUCCUACGAGAGGCAGCAGUGGGGAAUAUUGCACAGUGGGCGAAAGCCUGAUGCAGCCAUGCCGCAUGUAUGCAGAAGGCCUUCGGGUUGUAAAGUACUUUCAGCGGGGAGGCGUUACCCGCAGAAGACGCACCGGCUAACUCCGUGCCAGCAGCCGCGGUAAUAC